rfam:Gossypium arboreum cultivar AKA8401 contig_2836_1, whole genome shotgun sequence.
AACCCAUGGUAAGGGCAUCUUUGCAAAAGAUCCUUAUAUCUCUCUCAUGCAUCGUAGAGUGUUUCUAAAUCCAUCUACACAAAAGAAAAGAUAUCAUUACGUAAUUU